AGCGGAUGGUGGUGCAUGGCCGUUCUUAGUUGGUGGAGUGAUCUGUCUGGUUAAUUCCGAUAACGAACGAGACUCUCCCCUGCUAACUAGUCGGUUGGAUCUUGAUCAGUGGGUUGAGUGCCGAGUAACUCUCGCUGUGCGUGUUGUGCGUCGCGUUCCUCACGGUUCGUUGCGUGCUCAUGUGUGGCGUUGGAUGCCUUGGAUCACACUGCACCCCAAGUCCGCCGCUUUGCUAUAACUCUUCUUAGAGGGAUUCACGGCACUGAAGCCGUAAGAGACUGAGAGCAAUAACAGGUCUGUGAUGCCCUUAGAUGCUCUGGGCCGCACGCGCGCUACAAUGCCGGGCACAGCAGGUGUUUCUCCUGCUCCGACAGGAGCGGGUAACCCUCUGAAAGCCAGUGUUCUUGCAAGUGCUUCCUCCCUCGUGGAGUUGCACAGAGGCGUGCUUGGGCCUGGGACUUGCAAUUCUUUCCCACCAACGAGGAAUGCCUAGUAGCGGCGGGUCACUGAGCCCGCUGUGACUCAGUCCCUGCCCUUUGUACACACCGCCCGUCGCUACUACCGAUUGGGUGUACCAGUGAGAGCCUUGGACUGGCGUCCGUUGUUGCUCGCAAGAGUGACAAGCGGGUCCGACGGAAAGAGGUCCGAACUGGUGCACUUAGAGGAAGUAAAAGUCGUA
rnacentral:rRNA from 1 species